rnacentral:rRNA from 1 species
UUCAGUGAAAUCGAGUAGGGCGGGACACGUGAUAUCCUGUCUGAAUAUGGGGGGACCAUCCUCCAAGGCUAAAUACUACUGACUGACCGAUAGUGAACCAGUACCGUGAGGGAAAGGCGAAAAGAACCCUUGUCCUGUGACUGCGUACCUUUUGUAUAAUGGGUCAGCGACUUAUAUUCAGUGGCAAGGUUAACCAUCUAGGGGAGCCGUAGGGAAACCGAGUCUUAACUGGGCGUUCAGUCUCUGGAUAUAGACCCGAAACCAGGUGAUCUAGCCAUGGGCAGGUUGAAGGUUGAGUAACAUCAACUGGAGGACCGAACCGACUAAUGUUGAAAAAUUAGCGGAUGACUUGUGGCUAGGGGUGAAAGGCCAAUCAAACCUGGAGAUAGCUGGUUCUCCCCGAAAGCUAUUUAGGUAGCGCCUCGGACGAAUACUACUGGGGGUAGAGCACUGUUAAGGCUAGGGGGUCAUCCCGACUUACCAACCCUUUGCAAACUCCGAAUACCAGUAAGUACUAUCCGGGAGACACACGGCGGGUGCUAACGUCCGUCGUGGAGAGGGAAACAACCCAGACCGCCAGCUAAGGUCCCAAAUUACUACUAAGUGGGAAACGAUGUGGGAAGGCUCAGACAGCCAGGAUGUUGGCUUAGAAGCAGCCAUCAUUUAAAGAAAGCGUAAUAGCUCACUGGUCGAGUCGGCCUGCGCGGAAGAUGUAACGGGGCUAAGUAGUAAACCGAAGCUGCGGCAAUAUACUUUUGUAUAUUGGGUAGGGGAGCGUUCUGUAAGCGGUUGAAGGUGUGUGGUAACGCAUGCUGGACGUAUCAGAAGUGCGAAUGCUGACAUGAGUAACGAUAAAGGGGGUGAAAAACCUCCUCGCCGGAAGACCAAGGGUUCCUGUCCAACGUUAAUCGGGGCAGGGUAAGUCGACCCCUAAGGCGAGGCCGAAAGGCGUAGUCGAUGGGAAACGGGUUAAUAUUCCCGUACUUCUUACAAUUGCGAUGGGGGGACGGAGAAGGCUAGGUGGGCCUGGCGACGGUUGUCCAGGUUCAAGUGCGUAGGCUUAAGAGUUAGGUAAAUCCGGCUCUUUCUAAGGCUGAGACACGACGUCGAGCUACUACGGUAGUGAAGUCAUUGAUGCCAUGCUUCCAGGAAAAGCCUCUAAGCUUCAGAUUGUAAGGAAUCGUACCCCAAACCGACACAGGUGGUCGGGUAGAGAAUACCAAGGCGCUUGA